UAGGGAAUCUUCGGCAAUGGGGGCAACCCUGACCGAGCAACGCCGCGUGAGCGAAGAAGUAUUUCGGUAUGUAAAGCUCUAUCAGCAGGGAAGAAGAAAUGACGGUACCUGACUAAGAAGCACCGGCUAAAUACGUGCCAGCAGCCGCGGUAAUACGUAUGGUGCAAGCGUUAUCCGGAUUUACUGGGUGUAAAGGGAGCGCAGGCGGAAGGCUAAGUCUGAUGUGAAAGCCCGGGGCUCAACCCCGGUACUGCAUUGGAAACUGGUCAUCUAGAGUGUCGGAGGGGUAAGUGGAAUUCCUAGUGUAGCGGUGAAAUGCGUAGAUAUUAGGAGGAACACCAGCGGCGAAGGCGGCUUACUGGACGAUAACUGACGCUGAGGCUCGAAAGCGUGGGGAGCAAACAGGAUUAGAUACCCUGGUAGU
rnacentral:rRNA from 1 species